AAUUUUAUGUCCAAAAAUACAUUUUAAAUGAUAGAAAAAGUCAAAAAACACAACCCACUAAUCUGACCAAAUCUUUAUUCCAUCCUUUCUGAACAUCUGGAUGUAAAAAUGCAGCUUGCUUCAUAUUUUUAAUUUUCAUUUACAUAAAACAAAAUGUCCACAUUUUUCCUGACAGCCUCCAGAAAACAGCAGCUGGCUCGAUGGUCACACAGGAACCGAAACAAACAUACAGGAUCCCUCCUGCAGUCGGUGGUUCGAUUCCAGCUGAUGAGGAGCCAACAGAGACGAGACUGAAGGAUCUGAAUCUCCUUUCACUUGGUGUCUAAAAGCCUGAAGUGGAUUUUGUUUUUCAGUUUGGUGCGGUUUGCUCUCACUUUGUGCUUUUAUAAGCAGAUUAUAAUUUAUUAACAAAGCCAGGCGGAUGAUGAUCUUUGCUCCUAUUGGACAGAAAUUUGAUACAAAAUCAAUUGGAAGAUAAAGACGGAUGUCUACAGUGGCAGUGAAGCAACUUUGUAACAAACCAUUCUGAAAUAUUUUAGAAAAUGUUUUGAUCCUGAUGCUAACCGCAAACAGCUUCAGUUACGAUCAAACCUCAGCUCCUCUUCCUCAUCUUUGCUGCCUUCUGGUUUAACACGUUUGGUUCAUAUUCAGAUCGUCACUUAUUGACUAAAAUUCACUAAUCUUUCUGGGCGGAGUUAGCGCGCUAGCACCUAGCAUAGCUAUUUCAUUUACCUGAUGUUGCAGCAUCAACAUUCAUUUAACAAUAUUUUAUUACAUUUAUAGAAUAUUUUUACUGUGUUGUUUUCUAUGUGAAAUAAAUGUUUCUCAGAUAAAGCGCACUGUUACAACUAAUAAUGUAACAGUGCGCACUAAACGUAGCCUUAACCUCUAGAACCCGACGGACCCACCGGUGGGUCCAGCUGCCACGUGACCUCGGCUCGCUCUGUAAACAAGGGCUUUACGUGCCUUUAAUUUUUUUUUAUUAUUAUUAUCCGCUAAAAGAGGCUUUAAUCUUUCAAAAACUAUUCCGCAUAAAGGUUUUGCCCAAAAUGUUAAGAUUUUAGAGCUAUUUAAAAACCGCUGAUGAGAUUUAAAGGUCUUCGGGCGAUGACGCAACUGCCCGGAAAACACCGGAUCCGCUGAUCAUCACGACCAUUUUGUGUCUUCACGAGACAGUGGAAAGACUCUCAGAGCUUGGCACAAAAUGUCGGCUAUGCAAAAUCAUGACGUAUUUUCCGGAACACGAUCUAAACGCGUGCGUUAUCUGUGCGCUCUCUGUGCGCUCUCCGUGCGCUAUUGAAAUGCGCUCAGUGAAUGGUUCUUUUCGGGAUAGGUGUCGAUGGGCGUAGUUCGAAGCAUUCAAAUAAGGUGUGUACAGCAAGAAUUAUCAUUUCACUUGUGCGUUCUGCGAAAGAACAACGGUUUUUCGAUUUGCUACGAGCGGAGCUAACUCUAGCAAAAAUUAGCUCAACUGCAAUGGCGCAGAGGAAGAUGUCAGAUGUGGAGGCGCUGUAAGAAAUAUUUCGGAGCGAUGUGGAGCUGGAAAACUAUUCUUAUAGCUAGUGGGAUUCGGAGGAGGAGGAAGAGGAGAGAGCCGGAGAGGAGAGAGCCGGAGAGGAGAGAGCCGGAGAGGACAGACUCCCUGAAAGCCGGACACAGCUGACAGACUUGAUCUCGGUGAUCUUCAAGUGGAAGCCGAACCAUCAAGCUCAGAUGGAGCUGAACCUCCCCCCCCACCUCUCAUGAUUCUUCAUCUUCUUUGAGGUUUCAGUUAAAGAUUUCUGGCAAGGCAAGAGUUGAAGAUGACCGAGAAAUACCAGAGAUUCUGCAGAACCGGACCGGGUUGAGGUUCUAGGACCGGGUUGAGGUUCUAAAGAACAAUCCAGGUGAGACAUGAAUCAGAGAAUAUUUGAUCUGUUUUCUCUAUGCUGUCAUUCCGAACCAGAUUCUGCUUGUUUGGACCUCAGACGGAACCAUUUCCUGGUCGGUUCCGUUCAGCUUCGGACUUCUCUGCGUCCUGCGAGUCGUUCUCAACAUUUCCCUUCCUGUGACUUUGGUUCUGGGUUUCCGUUUGGACCUUCAGGUUCUGCUGGUCCAGAUCAGGAUGUUUAUGACGCUGCGUAUGGAGUUAUGAGUUUUUCCAGCUGCAGUUUUGCCUCAUUGUGCAUUUUGGCUCCUCUGGUCUGAAAACGGAUUGUCUGGAGAGAGGAGCAGAAACUCCUGGCCCAGUUCGGAUCGGACUGACUGGCGCCGAGGACCAAGGGGAUGGAAAUGGGUCGAUGGGACUCGACCUAGUCAAAGCUUUUUGGAAACCUGGUGAACCGAACGACUAUCAGCAACUCAGAAACUGAGUCAGAAAACGGCUGAAUCUGAGGAGCUGCUGAAACGAUUCAAACUGGAGAACGAUGAAGCAUCGAGUUCUUCCAGAACCCGAAGAACGUCUGAGGCUGUUGGAAAUAAAUAGAUCAAAAUGAAAUAAAUCCUGUCCGUCUUUCUGUUAAUGCAAAGAUGAGUAAAUAAUCUGAGUCUCAGCAGCUGUAAUUUAAUAUUCCUAUAAUCUGUCUUCUGUUUUUAUUUCCAUUCUGUGUUUCUGCAUCUGAAGCUUCAAAUAUUGAAGGACAGAUUGUGAACUUGUUGUUUUUGGAUGUUUCACAGAUGCAGCAUUACUGCGUGACAUUAAUAUGUUCAUAACCUCAUUAUGCUGUGAUGUUUCAGUUUAAUGAAACUGAAGCUCAAAGAGAAAUAAAACGUUUUGAUUUCUUUAGUUUCAGUGAAA